AAUGAACGCUGGCGGCAGGCCUAACACAUGCAAGUCGAACGAGUGGCGGACGGGUGAGUAAGGUCUGGGAAACUGACUGAUGGAGGGGGAUAACUACUGGAAAAGGUAGAUAAUACCGCAUAACAUCAGAUGGGCCCAGAUGGGUUUAGCUUGUUGGUGGGGUAACGGCUCCCCAAGGCGACGAUCCCUAGCUGAUCUGAGAGGAUGACCAGCCACACUGGAACUGAGACACGGUCCAGACUCCUACGGGAGGCAGCAGUUGGGAAUAUUGCACAAUGGGCGCAAGCCUGAUGCAGCCAUGCCGCGUGUAUGAAGAAGGCCUUCGGGUUGUAAAGUACUUUCGGCGGGGAGGCGUUACCCGCAGAAGAAGCCCCGGCUAACUCCGUGCCAGCCGCCGCGGUAAUAC
rnacentral:rRNA from 1 species